AGUCCAUCAGGUUUCAUUAUUCAAAAACCACCUUUAUUUGGAUUUGAUCAGAGUUUUCAUCAACAGGGCGCAGAGCAGAUUUAUCAAUGUGGCGUUUAUGGAAAAGCUGCACUCGAGAGCCCAGUUUUUCACCAGCUGUGCUCAUGUUCACGUGCAGCCUGACUGAGGAUUAUACUGACCGCCUGUGCUUAUGGUACGGGAAAGAUCCAAAAUAUGUGAAGAGGU